GUUGAAACACCAGUUCCCGUACGAUCACCGAAGUUAAGCAACGUCGAGCCUGGAUAGUACCUACAUAGGUGACAGCUUGGGAAUACCACAUGCUGUAA